rnacentral:lncRNA from 1 species
UGUAGUCUUGGAGGUGGAGGCGCCAGGAUCUGGGUGGAGGUGCAUGUGGAGGUUGAGGACAGGGCCGGAGGUGGAGGUCGAGGGCGAGGCCGGAUGUGCCAUAUAUUAUGUAGUAAUGCCAAAUAUUAUGACAUGCAUGUGCUAUAUAUAUAUAUAAUGGGAUAUGGAUUAUGUUAUAUGAUGUAUGAAUGUGCUAUGGAUUAUGUUAUAUGUUGUAUGUAUGUGUUAUGGUGGGUGCUAUAUGCUAUAUGUAUGUGUUAUGGUUUGUGAUAUAUGUGUGGAUUAUGGAUGUGUUAUGGUGUGUGCUAUAUUGUGUAUUUAUGUUGUUAUAUUAUCUAUUUCUGCUGCUAUAUUGUCUA